AGAGUUUGAUCAUGGCUCAGGAUGAACGCUGGCGGCGUGGAUAAGGCAUGCAAGUCGAACGGACCUUGCUUAUUGAUGUGUGGAAUGCGUAGCAAUACAAGUGAAGCAUUGAUAUAAGCGCUGGUUAGUGGCAAACGAGGUAGUAACACGUAGGUAUGUACCCCAAAGUCAUGAACAACGCACCGAAAGGUGUGCUAAUACAUGAUGGUCUCUCCGGAGUAAAGCUUUAGCGCUUUGGGAACAGCCUGCGGGAUAUCAGCUAGUUGGUAGUGUAAUGGACUACCAAGGCUAUGACGUCUAGGGGAGGUGAGAGCCUGACCCCCACCGAUGGGACUGAGACACGGCCCAUACAUCUACGGAUGGCUGCAGUCGAGAAUCUUCCACAAUGGACGAAAGUCUGAUGGAGCGACGCCGCGUGGUGGAUGAAGACCCUCUGGGUCGUAAACACCUUUUAUGAGGGAAGAAGUUUAUUGACGGUACCUCAUGAAUAAGGGGCUCCCAAUCUCGUGCCAGCAGGAGCGGUAAUACGAGAGCCUCAAGCGUUAUCCGGAAUUACUGGGCGUAAAGGGUGAGUAGGUUGUGAUGUUAGUCAUUUGUAAAAGCCCCCGGCUCAACCGGGGAUCUGCGAACGAAACGGCAUUACUAAGAGGGCAGGAGAGGUGUGCGGAACUCAAGGUGUAGGGGUGAAAUCCGUUGAUAUCUUGGGGAACACCAAAAGCGAAGGCAGCACACUGGCCUGUACCUGACACUGAAUCACGAAAGCGUGGGUAGCGAAUGGGAUUAGAUACCCCAGUAGUCCACGCCCUAAACGAUGUUCAUUUGCUAUUCGGAGUAUCGACCCUCUGAGUGGCGUAGCUAACGCGUUAAAUGAACCGCCUGGGAAGUACGAUCGCAAGAUUAAAACUC
rnacentral:rRNA from 1 species